rnacentral:lncRNA from 14 species
CAUGCAGAGAGAAGUGGAAAGAAAUUGACUGUAGGAUCAAGAUGGAAAGAUUCUGCUAAUGAAGGAUAAUCAGGUGGCAUAACAGUGAACAUCACCUUCCCCUAAAGAAUUUGUACUGUCAAAGGACACUAAGAAGAUGUAUUCCAUGAAAAAAAAAGGUUUGGUAAAGAUGUGGCACUUGAAGUAAAGGUGCUGGACUGCUCUGUUUCGAGCUGUUGUCAAAGUUAUUUUUGAUUCUUCUGAACAACAUAUCAUCCAAAAAUGUGAGCAUCAUCCUCACCAUUUCAACUUCUUAUUUGUUAGUGGAAAAAAUACCUGUUCACAUUAAUGAGUAUGGAUUUAUAAAAAUGUCAUUUAUUUGAUUUUUUUUUGUUUGUUGCUUAAUUUUAAUUGGAAUGAAAACAAUUGACAGUGCUAUCUAAAGCUAUUCGAAGUGUGGCCAGGAAACUGCAGACCUUUCAAAAUUAUCAACUAGCUAGAACAUGAGAAUUUCUGCAGAAAAAGGGACUCCGGGAAGGCUGAUGAUCAGGUUCUCUAGGUGAUUUCAUUUCUUAAAAUCUGAAACAGUGUCAAAUGCACAGGAACUUUUGAAGUUUUAUACAGUCAGAAGAUUGAUUUUCAAAGUCAGCUUGGAAAAUUUAGCCCUAUUUUUCACGUUGAAAUUAAUAGAAGU